AGAGCGAACGCUGGCGGCAGGCCUAACACAUGCAAGUCGAGCGCCCCGCAAGGGGAGCGGCAGACGGGAGAGUAACACGUGGGAACGUGCCCUUUGGUUCGGAACAACACAGGGAAACUUGUGCUAAUACCGGAUAAGCCCUUACGGGGAAAGAUUUAUUGCCAAAGGAUCGGCCCGCGUCUGAUUAGCUUGUUGGUGAGGUAACGGCUCACCAAGGCUACGAUCAGUAGCUGGUCUGAGAGGAUGAUCAGCCUCACUGGGACUGAGACACGGCCCAGACUCCUACGGGAGGCAGCAGUGGGGAAUAUUGGACAAUGGGCGCAAGCCUGAUCCAGCCAUGCCGCGUGGAUGAUGAAGGCCUUAGGGUUGUAAAGUCCUUUCGGCGGGGAAGAUAAUGACGGUACCGCAGAAGAAGCCCCGGCUAACUUCGUGCCAGCAGCCGC
rnacentral:rRNA from 1 species